UCCAUGGCUUCCUGUAUGCAUGUGCCUAUCUGGGGUCACUCCAUGUGGGCACUGUAGCUUUUGUCUACAUCUGGACAAUUGGCUG
ensembl:misc_RNA